AAAAAAACAAGAGCAAGAAAAACUUGGAAAACCCAAACCAAAAAUACAUCAUGGAAAUUUUAACAAAUAAAAAUUUGACAGAGAGAAUUUUUUUUUUAGAAAUUAUCAACAAUUGAAGAGGGUCAAACUAUAAAUUAGACAAGCAUGGCAAGAAAACACAACUUUAAGAAUAUGAAUAACUAAAUGCCACUGAAUUCAGGACAGAGUUUAAUGGCAUAUACUAAAGAGC
rnacentral:lncRNA from 1 species